AGAGUUUGAUCCUGGCUCAGGACGAACGCUGGCGGCGCGCCUAACACAUGCAAGUCGAACGAGCGAGAGAGAGCUUGCUUUCUCGAGCGAGUGGCGAACGGGUGAGUAACGCGUGAGGAACCUGCCUCAAAGAGGGGGACAACAGUUGGAAACGACUGCUAAUACCGCAUAAGCCCACGACCCGGCAUCGGGUAGAGGGAAAAGGAGCAAUCCGCUUUGAGAUGGCCUCGCGUCCGAUUAGCUAGUUGGUGAGGUAACGGCCCACCAAGGCGACGAUCGGUAGCCGGACUGAGAGGUUGAACGGCCACAUUGGGACUGAGACACGGCCCAGACUCCUACGGGAGGCAGCAGUGGGGAAUAUUGCACAAUGGGGGAAACCCUGAUGCAGCGACGCCGCGUGGAGGAAGAAGGUCUUCGGAUUGUAAACUCCUGUUGUUGAGGAAGAUAAUGACGGUACUCAACAAGGAAGUGACGGCUAACUACGUGCCAGCAGCCGCGGUAAAACGUAGGUCACAAGCGUUGUCCGGAAUUACUGGGUGUAAAGGGAGCGCAGGCGGGAAGACAAGUUGGAAGUGAAAUCCAUGGGCUCAACCCAUGAACUGCUUUCAAAACUGUUUUUCUUGAGUAGUGCAGAGGUAGGCGGAAUUCCCGGUGUAGCGGUGGAAUGCGUAGAUAUCGGGAGGAACACCAGUGGCGAAGGCGGCCUACUGGGCACCAACUGACGCUGAGGCUCGAAAGUGUGGGUAGCAAACAGGAUUAGAUACCCUGGUAGUCCACACCGUAAACGAUGAUUACUAGGUGUUGGAGGAUUGACCCCUUCAGUGCCGCAGUUAACACAAUAAGUAAUCCACCUGGGGAGUACGACCGCAAGGUUGAAACUCAAAGGAAUUGACGGGGGCCC
rnacentral:rRNA from 1 species